GGCUUAAUACAUGCAAGUCGUGGGGCAGCAUGAGUAGCAAUACUUGAUGGCGACCGGCAAACGGGUGCGGAACACGUACACAACCUUCCGAUAAGUGGGGAAUAGCCCAGAGAAAUUUGGAUUAAUACCCCGUAACAUAUAGAGUAGGCAUCUUCUUUAUAUUAUAGCUUCGGCGCUUAUUGAUGGGUGUGCGUCUGAUUAGGUAGUUGGCGGGGUAACGGCCCACCAAGCCUACGAUCAGUAGCUGAUGUGAGAGCAUGAUCAGCCACACGGGCACUGAGACACGGGCCCGACUCCUACGGGAGGCAGCAGUAAGGAAUAUUGGACAAUGGGCGAAAGCCUGAUCCAGCCAUGCCGCGUGAAGGAUUAAGGUCCUCUGGAUUGUAAACUUC
rnacentral:rRNA from 1 species